AUGUGUGUUAGUGGAAGCGUCUGGAAAGGCGCGCGAUACAGGGUGACAGCCCCGUACACAAAAGCGCAUAUGCUGUGAGCUCGAUGAGUAGGGCGGGACACGUGGUAUCCUGUCUGAAUAUGGGGGGACCAUCCUCCAAGGCUAAAUACUCCUGACUGACCGAUAGUGAACCAGUACCGUGAGGGAAAGGCGAAAAGAACCCCGGCGAGGGGAGUGAAAAAGAACCUGAAACCGUGUACGUACAAGCAGUGGGAGCACCCUUCGGGGUGUGACUGCGUACCUUUUGUAUAAUGGGUCAGCGACUUAUAUUCUGUAGCAAGGUUAACCGUAUAGGGGAGCCGGAGGGAAACCGAGUCUUAACCGGGCGUUAAGUUGCAGGGUAUAGACCCGAAACCCGGUGAUCUAGCCAUGGGCAGGUUGAAGGUUGGGUAACACUAACUGGAGGACCGAACCGACUAAUGUUGAAAAAUUAGCGGAUGACCUGUGGCUGGGGGUGAAAGGCCAAUCAAACCGGGAGAUAGCUGGUUCUCCCCGAAAGCUAUUUAGGUAGCGCCUCGUGAACUCAUCUCCGGGGGUAGAGCACUGUUUCGGCUAGGGGGCCAUCCCGGCUUACCAACCCGAUGCAAACUGCGAAUACCGGAGAAUGUUAUCACGGGAGACACACGGCGGGUGCUAACGUCCGUCGUGAAGAGGGAAACAACCCAGACCGCCAGCUAAGGUCCCAAAGUCAUGGUUAAGUGGGAAACGAUGUGGGAAGGCCCAGACAGCCAGGAUGUUGGCUUAGAAGCAGCCAUCAUUUAAAGAAAGCGUAAUAGCUCACUGGUCGAGUCGGCCUGCGCGGAAGAUGUAACGGGGCUAAACCAUGCACCGAAGCUGCGGCAGCGAACGUAUCACUUAAAGCGAUUCAGCGGGUUACGAUUGACGGAGCGAAGCGACGUCAAAGCGUAUACAAAGUCGAGUCGGUUUAAGGAUACGUUCGUUGGGUAGGGGAGCGUUCUGUAAGCCUGUGAAGGUGUGUCGUGAGGCAUGCUGGAGGUAUCAGAAGUGCGAAUGCUGACAUAAGUAACGAUAAAGCGGGUGAAAAGCCCGCUCGCCGGAAGACCAAGGGUUCCUGUCCAACGUUAAUCGGGGCAGGGUGAGUCGACCCCUAAGGCGAGGCCGAAAGGCGUAGUCGAUGGGAAACGGGUUAAUAUUCCCGUACUUGGUGUUACUGCGAAGGGGGGACGGAGAAGGCUAUGUUGGCCGGGCGACGGUUGUCC
rnacentral:rRNA from 1 species